AGCAUGCACAGGCAAUUUGCAAGAAGGAGUUACAAAUUUGAAAGAAUACUUGCCUCCAAAAAUAGAAGCCUUGAGUAUCCAGAGAUCGUAGGAGAAAACAAACUGCCUAUGGUUAGCAUCUCCACAUUAAAACUCAAUCUGUGUUGGGAAGUGCCUAUCUUUGUCUUCAAGUAUUUCAAAGGUAAAAUAAGACCAGUGAAUGAAAGUAAACAAUUUCAGAGGAUAAUUUCACUUCAAGCACUAUGAUGUUGAAAUUUGUGAGAUAUCUUACAGAAUUUAUCUGUCAUAAAGCACGUGCCUAGAAUUAACCUCUCAAACAGUGGGUUAUUUGAAGACGGUUAGAAAAUUAUUCCGGAUGGUAAUGAGGUUAAGAAAUACUGUUUUGUACAUGAUACAAAACUGAUGACCGUAGCAGAUCCUUAUGAUGAAGAUUCUUGAAGUUGGAUUCAAACUCCAGUCACAGUACAUAUACGUGAGUGUGUAUUUGUAUUUAACAGUUAGACUGUAAAUUAGAAGCAUUAAUGUCGUUAUUCUCGGUAGAUAAGUAGAUAGAUUCUGGGCAGAUAAAGAGAAAAUUAAAACCACAUAGUUAUAUGUAACGUUUUUAAAUUUUAAUUCUAAUUCUAGAAGAUUGAUUUCUACAAGCAAGAAUUUAACAAUGUAGAAAGGACCAAUGAACAUUUUUUGGAAGUGCCUAGGCAUUUGACUCCUCUUUUGGAGUCAAAUCUGGAGUCCAACCAGAUGUCUAUCUAUGUUUUCUAUAUGCUUUUAAAAUAUGAUUCUGAGUUCAUCUGAGUAGGGCAAAUGGAAUCAAGGUUUUUAGGCAGUAUUAAUCACCAGGUUUGUGAAAUUCAGAUUUCCUGUAAGUCAACUGUUCUCCCAAAACCAACAAAUGGCCAAAAUUGUUUUCAAAAGUUGCCUUUGAAAGACAUUGAUCUUUGAACGUACUCUGAGAGAUAUUAAAUACUAAAUUGAAACCCGGAACUGAAAUUUAUGGCAAGGUUUCAACACAAACUAUAUGUCCUCAGGAUCCAAUUUCUCUUUGUAGCCUUUCCAUGUUGUUCUAAUAUUCCAGAGAUAUAGUCAGAAACAAUGACAUAAUAGUGAUAUUUAUUGUCCAGUUGUUCUGUUAUGAAAGACAUAGUCCAUGACUAUCAUGGUGUAUAUCCCUUAUCAUGCAAAUUCUUGAACAAUUCCGCCCAUUUCAACCAUUCUUAAAGUUUCAAGUUCUAAAUACUGAUAUCUGCAACAUAAGAUUGACUUGAGAAUAGAAAAUAUUGGGCUGUUCUGUAUGUACAUUCUUUUUUUCCUCCAUGUCAUAGAGGCAAUGUUAACAGCCACAGUCUCAGACUACUCAUGCUGAACAUCCUGUGUUUUACAGCAUCAACUAAUGCACAGUAGCAUUUUUUUUUUUCCUAAGAUUCAUGUGGAGAAAGGUACUUCAAUGCUAAACAAUAUCACUAUAAUUUGAUGAAAAUUCUUGCAUUUUUUUUGCCUGUGGUUUUGAUCUACAGACCUGAA